AAAUGAAUGUCUGUUCAGUCCAUCAAUCUGUGGUCCAUACUCUAACUGCACAAAUGAAAUAGGAAGUUACAAUUGCUCAUGUUUGGGUGGAUUCACUACAACAAACUCAAAUCUCACCAUAACUAUCAACAACACUUGCAGAGAUGUAGAGGAAUGUGUAGAGAUAUCAGGCAUCUGUGGUCCAAACUCAAUCUGCAACAACACUAUUGGGAGUUACAAUUGCUCAUGCAUGAGUGGAUAUAAUGUAACUGAUCCAAACCUCCCUAUAAAUAGCAGUAACACAUGCACAGAUAUAAAUGAAUGUCUGUUCAAUCCAUCAUUCUGUGGUCCAUACUCCAACUGCACAAAUGAAAUAGGAAGUUACAAUUGCUCAUGUUUGUCUGGAUUUACUGCAACAAACUCAAAUCUCACCAUCAGCAUCAACAACACAUGCAGAGAUGUAGAGGAAUGUUUAGAGAUAUCAGGCAUCUGUGGUCUAAACUCAAUCUGCAACAACACUAUUGGCAGUUACAAUUGCUCAUGCAUGAGUGGAUAUAAUGUAACUGAUCCAAACCUCCCUAUAAACAGCAA